CUGUGGAGUUUACAUUAUGAAGCAUAUGGAAACCUUCACUGCUGAUCCUAAUGAGAGCUGGAUUUGUGAUUUAAAACCAAACAAUGUGGAACAAAUUAGAAAUCUAAGGCUCCAAUACACAGCAGAACUGAUGUUAUUUGAAGAAAACACUGAAUCAAGAGCAAAUAGAAGGAAAGCUAGAAAAUUUGCAACUUUGUAGUUUCAAAUGUUCAUUUACAACUAUGUAUAUGUUCAUUUCUUAUAUAUGACUAUUUUUUUUUUUU